rnacentral:rRNA from 1 species
ACGGGAGGCAGCAGUGGGGAAUAUUGCACAAUGGGGGAAACCCUGAUGCAGCGAUGCCGCGUGGAGGAAGGAGGUUUUCGGAUUGUAAACUCCUGUCUUAAAGGACGAUAAUGACGGUACUUUAGGAGGAAGCUCCGGCUAACUACGUGCCAGCAGCCGCGGUAAUACGUAGGGAGCGAGCGUUGUCCGGAAUUACUGGGUGUAAAGGGAGCGUAGGCGGGAUUGCAAGUCAGAUGUGAAAUAUACGGGCUCAACCUGUAGACUGCAUUUGAAACUGUAGUUCUUGAGUGAAGUAGAGGCAAGCGGAAUUCCUGGUGUAGCGGUGAAAUGCGUAGAUAUCAGGAGGAACACCGGUGGCGAAGGCGGAUUACUGGACGACAACUGACGCUGAGACACGAAAGCGUGGGGAGCAAACAGGAUUAGAUACCCUGGUA